ensembl:lncRNA
AGGAAUUGCCACCGAGAUCGGAGACGGUAGGGGAGGUUGUUUACACGGCGUAAAGUGAGGCCGAGUUCCGGCCACCCAGCGGGGUGUAUGAGCUCUUUUAAAGGAGAACACUGUGGUUUUCAUGUUCUGAGCAUUCUGAGAUUGUGAAGGCAUAAUUCCUUUGAUUUGCUUACAGCCAAGUGGAGUUGCACAGGUCAUGGUGGCAGUAUAGCCACUUAAGUAUUCUAAAGGAGAUUUAUCAGCAGGUUGCAGGUGAACAUGGCGUUGAGACUUGCUUUUGCUUCUUGUAGAAGAUGAGAAACAUGUUUAAACAAAGGUUCUUUAUGCUGAAUAAAUAGGUUGCUUGAAGUUGGUUAUCUGCCUUAUUUAAAUUAAGUGAAUUUUGGCGUUCCCAUCAUGGCUCAGCAGAAACCAAUCUGACUAGCAUCCAUGAGGAUGCAGGUUCAGUCCCUGGCCUCAGUGCGUUAAGGGUCCAGCAUUGCCAUGAGCUGUGGUGCAGGUCACAGACUCAGCUUGGAAUGGCGUGGCUGUGGCUGUGGCGUAGGCCAGUGGCCACAGCUCUGAUUGGACCCCUAGCCUGGGAACCUCUGUAUGCUGCGGGUGCGGCCCUAAAAAGACAUAAAUAAAUAAAGUAGAUUUUAAAUGU